GGAGUUUAAUGUUAGGUACAGUAAAGCCCAUACAGAAGAAAUGAGAGACAACACUGACAGAUACUGAAUACAGACGUCUCAACAGAACAAUGUUGCUCAUCUCUUUUGUUUUAAUAUUUAUCUUCAGCUUCUGUGAAGCUAAUAAGGACUUAAUUAAACCAGAUGAAACCUCUGUGUCUAUAACUGAAGGAAACAACAUCACACUGUCCUGUACAUAUGAUGGUUCAGCUUACAGUCUCCACUGGUACCGACAGAUGUCUGGAUCAAGGCCUGACUUUCUGGUGCUCAUUCAGGAGUCCACAAAAUUGAUCACCGAAGCUACUCCACCUCAACCACACAUGUCCAUCAGACUUCAUAAUAAACAAGUGUAUCUGGAGAUCUCAUCUGCUGCUGUAUCAGACUCUGCUGUGUAUUACUGUGCCAUGGAGCCCACAGUGACAGGAAACACAACAACACUGUACAAAAACAUGUUAUAUUGCAUCAGAUGUUGCAUGUAAAUUCAUUUGAUAACUUCUGUAUAGUAAAGAUUAUCAUGUAAAAUACCGGUCCAAGUUCAUUUUUUUGUCUCAAGAGACAAAUCAUUCACCCUU